rnacentral:rRNA from 1 species
AUUGAACGCUGGCGGCAGGCCUAACACAUGCAAGUCGAGCGAGCGGCGGACGGGUGAGUAAUGCCUGGGAAAUUGCCCAGUCGAGGGGGAUAACUACUGGAAACGGUAGCUAAUACCGCAUACCAUCAGAUGUGCCCAGAUGGGAUUAGCUUGUUGGUGGGGUAACGGCUCACCAAGGCGACGAUCCCUAGCUGGUCUGAGAGGAUGACCAGCCACACUGGAACUGAGACACGGGCCAGACUCCGACGUGAGGCAGCAGUGGGGAAUAUUGCACAAUGGGCGCAAUCCUGAUGCAGCCAUGCCGCGUGUAGGAAGAAGGCCUUCGGGUUGUAAAGUACUUUCAGCGGGGAGGCGUUACCCGCAGAAGAAGCACCGGCUAACUCCGUGCCAGCAGCCGCGGUAAUUC